UACGAAGGGGGCUAGCGUUGUUCGGAAUUACUGGGCGUAAAGCGCACGUAGGCGGCUUGUUAAGUCAGGGGUGAAAUCCUGGAGCUCAACUCCAGAACUGCCUUUGAUACUGGCAACCUAGAGACUGGAAGAGGUUAGUGGAAUUCCCAGUGUAGAGGUGAAAUUCGUAGAUAUUGGGAAGAACACCAGUGGCGAAGGCGGCUAACUGGUCCAGCACUGACGCUGAGGUGCGAAAGCGUGGGGAGCAAACAGG
rnacentral:rRNA from 1 species